GCUUGCUUUGGCAGCAUGUGCUGGAAUUGGAGUGAUACAGAGAAGAGUAGCGUGGCCCCUGUGCAAAGAUGACACGCAAAUGUGUGAAAAGUUCCAUAUUUAA